rnacentral:rRNA from 1 species
UACCUACGGGGGGCAGCAGUGGGGGAUAUUGCACAAUGGGGGAAACCCUGAUGCGGCGACGCCGCGUGUGGGAAGACGGUCUUCUGGAUUGUAAACCACUGUCCCCAGGGACGAAAAUGACGGUACCUGACUAAGAAGCCCCGGCUAACUACGUGCCAGCAGCCGCGGUAAUACGUAGGGGGCAAGCGUUAUCCGGAUUUACUGGGUGUAAAGGGAGCGUAGACGGCGAUGCAAGUCUGAAGUGAAAGGCGGGGGCCCAACCCCCGGACUGCUUUGGAAACUGUAUGGCUGGAGUGCAGGAGAGG